GGAGUUGUGGCUCAGUGGUAGAGCACUUGCCUAGCAUGUGUGAGAAGCUGGGUUCAAUUCUCAGCACCA
rfam:Ictidomys tridecemlineatus contig100114, whole genome shotgun sequence.